rnacentral:lncRNA from 1 species
AUCUAAUAACAGAACAGAAUUUGUAGUCAGACAACUUUGUUUUGAAACUAUUCUUCCUUUCUUCCCUUCCUCCCUCCCUCCCUUCCUUCUUUCCUUCCUUCCUUUCCUUCGGAAAGGAAAGGACAGGGAGGAUAGCCAUAGAAUGGGAAGCUCCUUAGACCUCAGAGGAAUGCCGCAAGCUUCCCAAGUCUGAGUGCCUGCCCAGAGUUUGCCUACUUUCUUCAGUAGUCAAGGAUAUUCCUCAAGUUGUGUUUAAUAUCUAUGCAUGAGCCAAACUGUGGUAGGUGGGUGACUGCAUUCCCCAGGUGCAAUCUUUCAGCAUGUGACCUGAUGUAGUACAUUACAUUCCUUAGACAAGGAAAAAAUAGCGAUAUGAAUGCAAAGAGGGGGAGGCAGAGAGUGUAAGCUACUCUAAAACACUUAGUUAUGAAAGAAGAAAGAUUGGCUAGAAAGCAUGUAUAAUAAGGAAUGAAUUCCAUUUUUUUAAUUGAGAGAGGUUCAGGAAUGUUUAUAUACUUGAGGAAAAAGCAUAGUGAGAGAUCUUAACAAGUCACUUCAUUCCUAAGCUUUGAUACCCUCAUCCGAGGUGAGGAGGAGAGGAGAAGAGUUUCUAUAAAGAUUAAAAUUGAAUUAAAAUCAUAUGCACAGUAGUGGCUUAUAUGCCACAAAGCCCUUUACACAUGUUAAUUUUUAUAACUAUUAUCAUCUAGUGACUGUACAGAUGAGUAAGCCCUGGUCACAGCUGUUCUAUAUUUUCUACCCUAUAUGACAGAGCUGUCAAGAGGAGACAGGCUCUUGAGUAGGCAGGGCUAAGACACAUAAAUAAGAGGCUAACACUGGUGUGAUUUGUAUCUUGACAUGCUUUGAGCUUUUGGAGGAUGGUGUGUGUAUGUGUCUGACUUACUAGACGCAAUGAGUUACCAUUUAUUUCAACUUGCCCUGUAUUCUUAUUUUAAAAAUCUUACUUAAAACAUGGACACAUGUCAAAUCCAACAUGUCUCUAAAAAGAGCUAAUGUUUGGAGAAAAUUUUAGAAAUAUUCACAAACUAUGCAUCUGAUAAAGGUCUAUUCAGAAUCUAUAAGGAACUUAAACAAUUCAACAAGCAAAAAAUAACCCCAUUAACAAGCGGGCAGGCCAGGUGCAGUGGCUCACACCUGUAAUCCCAGCACUGUGGAAGGCUAAGGCAGGUAGACUACUUGAGGUCCGGAGUUCAAGACCAGCCUGGCCAAGAUGGUGAAACCUCCCCUACUAAAAAUACAAAAAUUAGCCAGGUGUGGUGGUGCACACUUGUAAUCCCAGAUACUCGGGAGGUUGAGGCAGGAGAAUCGCUUGAACUCGGAAGGUGGAGACUACAGUGAGCUGAGAUGGUGCCACUGCGUUCCAGCCUGGGCGACAAAGUAAGACUCCGUCUCAAAAAUAAAUAAAUAAAUAAAUAGAAUACAUUUAAAAAGUUGGAAAAGGACAUGAACAGAUACUUUUCAAAAGAAGUCAUACAAACAGACAACAAACGUGGAAAAAUACUCAACAUCACUAAUCAUUAGAGAAAUGCAAAUCAAAACCACGGUGAGAUACCAUCUCACACCAAUCAGAAUGGCUAUUAUUAAAAAGUCAGGCCGGGCUCAGUGCCUCACACCUGUAAUCCCAGCACUUUGGGAGGCCGAGGAGGAUGGAUCACCUAAGGUCAGGAGUCUGAGACCAACUUGGCCAACAUGGUGGAACCCUGUUUCUGCUAAAAAUACAAAAAUUAGCCGGGUAUGGUGGCACAUGCCUGUAAUCCCAGCUACUCAGGAGGCUGAGGUAGGAGAAUUUCUUGAACCCGGGUGGCAGAGGUUACAUUGAGCCAAGAUCGCACCAUUGCACUCGAGUCUGGGUGAUAGAGCAAGACUCUGUCUCAAAAAAAAAAAAAAAAAAAAAAAAAAAAAAAAAAUAGUCAAAAGCCACAGUUGCUGGCGAGGCUACCAAGAAAAGGGAAUGCUUAUCUAUUGUCGGUGUGAAUGUAAAUUAGUUCAGCUACUGUGGAAAAGUAGUUUGGUGAUUUCUCAAAGAACUUAAAACAAAAUUACCGUUCAACCCAGCAAUCUUCAUUACUGAGUAUAUAUCUAAAGGAAAAUAAACCAUUCUACCAAAAAGACACAUGCACUCACAUGUUCAUCACAGCACUAUUCACAAUAGCAAAGACAUGGAAUCAAUCUAGGUGUUCAUCAACAGUGGAUUGGAUUUUUUAAAAUAGGGUAUAUACAUAGCAUGGUAUAAUACACAGUCAAAAAAAUGAGUGAAAUCAUAUCCUUUGUAGCAACAUGGAUGGAGCUAGAGGUCAUUAUCCUGAGUGAAUUAAGGCAGAAACAGAAAACCAAAUGUGUUAGUAAGAUCUCACAAGUGGGAGUUAAGCAUUGGGUACUCAUGGACAUAAAGAUGACAACAAUAGGUACUGGGGACUACUAGAGGCAGGAAGGAGGAAGGGGGACAAAGCUUGAAAUACUUACCUAUUGGUCACUAUGCUCAUUAUCUAGGUGAGGGGAUCAUUCACACCCCAAACCUCAGUGUUAUGCCAUAUACCCAUGUAACAAACCUGCACAUGUACUCCUGAGUCUAAAAUAAAAGUUAAAAUUAUUUUUUAAAAUAAAUAAAUAGAUCGGGCGUGGUGGCUCACGCCUAUAAUCCCAGCACUUUGGGAGGCUGAGGCGGGUGGAUCACUUGAGGUUAGGAGUUCAAGACCAGCCUGACCAACAUGGUGAAACCCCAUCUCUGAAAAAUACAAAAUUAACUGGGCGUGGUGGCAUGCUCCUGUAAUCCCAGCUACUUGGGAAGCUGAGGCAGGAGAAUUGCUUGAACCCAGGAGGCAGAGGUUGCAGUGAGCUGAGAUCGAGCCAUUACACUCCAGCCUGGGCAACAAGAGUGAAACUCCAUCUCAAAAAAAAAAAAAUUAAAAUUAAAAAAUAAAUAAAUAAACAAAAUUAAAAGUUGCCAUGUUGAAAAACACUAAUCCAUCUUGAGAUGCAAGGAUCUGUACAAAUAAGACUAUAUACAUGAACUUCAGGUUACAUAAAGGAGCAGUUUCUGUUUGUAGGUGGGGGGAGUAAACUUUUUGUGUUUCUUUCUGGCUCAUUGCAGGAUCACAUUAUAAUUUUGCUUUGAUACAAAUUUGGCAACAGGAAUCAUAAUUCUUUUUCCAACUGACUACAGUGCUUGUAUACUUUUAACGAAUAAUCGCUGUGAGUUGUACAAAGCCUUAUAUAUUCAACAAAUCAGUGAAGUUUUUAUCCUCUUAAUAUUUACUUUGUAGCUUUGCUUUGAACCACCUCAGCCCCAGUUCUACACAGUUGGCAGUAAAGAUAUCUGCAAAUUCCACUCCCCCAUUUCCUUUCUGUUUUGCCCUUGGUUUUUCAACAGUGAGAUGAUUGUGCCUUCAUUUCUGGGUGCAUCCCUUCACUUAUUCCUUAUUUCCCUUCUCCAUCCCUUACUCCUUCCUUCUCUUCCCCAGGCCUUCACAACCUCUAGAUUUUAUUACUAGCAACUUCUUAGGCCAAUCCCAUAGCAUGCUCCUUCAUGCAUUACAUGAACAAAUUUUUUGAGGGUGCUGAACCAAACAAUCAGGUGUCUUUUUUCAAGAGUGAACAAGAAGCCACUUUUUAAAAACAGUUUUACUGAGAUAUAAUUUGUAUUCUAUAAAAUUCGCAUUUAAAGUGUACAAUUCAAUGGUUUUCAGUAUAUCUAUUUAGCAGGGCACCCGUCACCAUAAUUAAUUUUAGAAUAUUUUCAUCAUCUCCAAAAGAAACCUUAUAUUCAUUAGCAGUCACUCAUCAAUUCUGUUCUCCCAUACCCCACCCCUUUAUUCCCUCUAGUCCUAGACAAACACUAAUCUGCUUUCGGUUUCUAUGGAUUUGCCUAUUCUGGACAUUUUAUAUAAAUGAGAUCAUAUAAUAUGUGGUCUUUUGUGACUGGCUUCCUUCACUUAGCAGAAUGUUUUUGAGGUUCAUCUAUAUUGUGGCAUCUAUCUGUACCUCAUUCCUUUUUAUUGCCAAAUAAUAUUUCAUUGUAUGGAUAUUUCACAUUUUGUUUAUCUGUUCAUCAGUUGAUGACAAAUGGAUUGUUUCUACUUUUUGGUUAUUGUGAAUAAAGUUUCUGUGAACAUUUGUGCACAAGUUUUUGUAUGGAAAUAUGUUUUCAUUGCUUUUGGGUAGAUUCCCAAGAUAAAAGAAUUGCUGGGUCAUAUGGUAACUCUAUUUUUAGCAUUUAGAGGGACUGUCAAACUUUUCCAAUGUGGCUACACCAUUUUACUUUCCCACUAGCAGUGUAUGAGCUUUCCAAUUUCUCCACAUCCUUACCAACAAUUAUUAUUUUCUGCCUAUAUUAUUAUAGCCAUUCCAGUGGGUGAAAAUUGAUAUCUCAUUGUGCUUUUGAUUUAUAUUUUCCUAGUGACUUUUCAUGUGCUUAUUUGCAUAUUUUUCUCUUGAAAAAUAUCUUGUAAUCCUUUGCCCAUUCCCAACUUAGAUCAUUUGUCAUUUCUUAUUGAUUUGUGUUUUUUAUAUUCUAGUCCCUUAACAGAUAGUAUAAUUUGCAAAUAUGCUCUCUGAUUCUGUGGGGCUGUUCUUUCACUUGUUGGUGUCCUUGAAGCACAGAAGUUUUUCAUUUUGAUUAAGUUCAACUUAUCAACUUUUUUUCUCUUUUAUUAUUUGUGCUCUUGAUGUUGCAUCAAAGAAAUUACUGCCUAACUCAAAGUCACAAAGAUUUACUGCUUAACUCAGGUCAAAAGAGUUAGUUUUCUUCUAAAAGUUUUAUAUUUUAGCUUCUUUUUUUUUUUUUUUUUCAUUUUUUCCAUUUUUAUUUGAUGUUUCCAAAUAUAAAAAAGUCAGGAUGCUUACAUCAAUUAUCUCAAAU